rnacentral:rRNA from 1 species
AGUGAACGCUGGCGGUAGGCCUAACACGUGCAAGUCGAACGGCAGCACAGUAAGAGCUUGCUCUUACGGGUGGCGAGUGGCGGACGGGUGAGGAAUACAUCGGAAUCUACUUUUUCGUGGGGGAUAACGUAGGGAAACUUACGCUAAUACCGCAUACGACCUACGGGUGAAAGCAGGGGAUCUUCGGACCUUGCGCGAUUGAAUGAGCCGAUGUCGGAUUAGCUAGUUGGCGGGGUAAAGGCCCACUAAGGCGACGAUCCGUAGCUGGUCUGAGAGGAUGAUCAGCCACACUGGAACUGAGACACGGUCCAGACUCCUACGGGAGGCAGCAGUGGGGAAUAUUGGACAAUGGGCGCAAGCCUGAUCCAGCCAUACCGCGUGGGUGAAGAAGGCCUUCGGGUUGUAAAGCCCUUUUGUUGGGAAAGAAAAGCAGCAGGUUAAUACCCCGCUGUUCUGACGGUACCCAAAGAAUAAGCACCGGCUAACUUCGUG